GGGGAUUAGAAAAAGAAUCCGAAUUAGGCUUGCAGACCCUCAGCAUAAUCGUGACUCUUAAUGCAUUUUUUGCUUCAAAAUGGUAAUCAAACAAUAACUACUUGUUCAAAAGGCGGUAGGUUGCAGGCUUGCAGCAUCUUUUCCCAAAAACACGAAAACGACAACGUUUUAUAACGUCCAAAUAAAUCAGCAGCUUUCGUUUGCAAAAACCUCUCCUCUCUGUCUCUGAAUCCGCUAUUGAUGUUUAGGUAUGUAUCCAGUUUCUCUAGAUGUCUCUUCGGUAACUAUGCACACCAAGUGUUCGAUUAAAUGCCGCUUACAAACCCCACUUGAGUUUCAUAAUCAUAUUCUAGCAUCACAUGUUUUUGUUUUCUUAAAAUUUGGUAAGUAUCUUAAGAUCUACGGAGAAAAUUACAUGAAAACCAAAGUUGGUUUUGAAAAUUCAAAUCAUACGAUACAUUCAUGAGUUCUAAUCAUACAUCAUACCCUUGUAUAAAAAUCUGGGUUUUGAUCAUAUGGAAGCUUAAAAGUCUCACAUUUGAAAGCCACAAGCUGCAUAAAUUCCUGUUCUUUACAUCAUCAAAGCUUCUAUUACCAUCAAAAUUAUAAUUUACAUGAAAUGAUGGUUAACAUAUGCAAUUGACAAGAAAAAAUAAGUGUGUAUUUACUUAUGCAGAUAUAUGUAUGAAUCUGAUCACAAUGAUGAAUGUAGGAAGGCACACACACAGUUACGUCUCUUCUUCUUCAAGUUCUUCUCUGUUAUUUGGGUUUGUUUUCUCCGCUUCUAUGUUCUUCAGCCAGUCUACAACUUGUUGGAUGUUUGGUCUUUUCAUUGGAUUUUGGUUCACACACAUGCAGGCUAUGUCAAGCACACGGAGCAUCUCUUCUUCAUAACCACUUUCUCUCAGCAAUGUAUCAAACACUUCCUCUGCCUUCCC
rnacentral:lncRNA from 1 species